rnacentral:rRNA from 1 species
CGUACACUCCUGCGGGAGGCAGCAGUGGGGAAUAUUGCACAAUGGGCGCAAGCCUGAUGCAGCCAUGCCGCGUGUAUGAAGAAGGCCUUCGGGUUGUAAAGUACUUUCAGCGGGGAGGAAGGCAAUACGGUUAAUAACCGUGUUGAUUGACGUUACCCGCAGAAGAAGCACCGGCUAACUCCGUGCCAGCAGCCGCGGUAAUACGGAGGGUGCAAGCGUUAAUCGGAAUUACUGGGCGUAAAGCGCACGCAGGCGGUCUGUCAAGUCGGAUGUGAAAUCCCCGGGCUCAACCUGGGAACUGCAUUCGAAACUGGCAGGCUUGAGUCUUGUAGAGGGGGGUAGAAUUCCAGGUGUAGCGGUGAAAUGCGUAGAGAUCUGGAGGAAUACCGGUGGCGAAGGCGGCCCCCUGGACAAAGACUGACGCUCAGGUGCGAAAGCGUGGGGAGCAAACAGGAUUAGAAACCCCGGUAGUCCCAUGAU